rnacentral:sRNA from 1 species
UUCGGGGGGGAUCGCCGUCCAUCAGCGCGUUGCGCCCAUGGGCGCGAUUGUG